CUUUCGGGUUAUAACAGGCGGACCGUAUAUUUUAAACAUAUUGAAGUCAAGACACUAUGGAUAAACCUGGAAUCGAAAUCGGAAGAAGGUCAAAGAAGAUACUAAGGAGCAAAGGAAAAAACAAGUAGUCAGUUAUUGAGGACUUAUGGAAUCACAGGGUUGUGAAGGUACCUGGAGUGAUGGAAAAUUGGUCACUAAGAUAGGUAGGAACAAUGAUAGUAUGACGGCAGUAAGUAUCAGGAUCCUUUCUAUUUUGGUUCAUGGUAAAAAUUAAACUUUUAACAUAUUCUUAAGCUUGAAUCCUGCUAAGAUAUCGUUAUGUAAGGCUUAAUAAUCCAUGCUUUUGUCCUCGUCGUUAGAUAAAAUCCUUUAAUGGUUAUUUAUGGCUUAAUAAUCCAUGCUUUUAUUCUCGUAAAAAAACUGUAGCCUUUGAAUUAAGCAAAUUUCAGCUAUUUUCACUUAGGUUAUGAAAAUUCUUGUUCACUUUGGAGCUCCAGAAAAUAUGUUAGUCGAUGGGAAACCUCACUUGGGAACAGAUAGGUUGAUUCCACUUUUACUCAAUUUCUGGCAAUACCUAUAAGAUCUGGGCGUGAGUUACACCUUCUUAACUCAAAAGAAUGUUUGAAGAAGUAUCAGAUUCUUAAUUUUUUUAAUUUCUUAACGUUGAUGAUUUACUAUAAUGCACUUACGUUGUUCAUUUUAUCUGUAUAGGUUACUAUAAAGUUUGGCACAAGAGUUGAUGAUUUGCUUAUAGAAAAGGAAUAGGUUGUCGAAGUCAGAGUUCUGAUGCAACAAACAAAUUGCAUGCUGAUAACAAAAAUCGAAGAUAUGAUGCAGUUGUUCUAGCGGUAAGGAAUUCUGCCAAUGAUGUUUAUGAAAUGCUCGUUCCUUAUAAUAUGCACAAGGUUCCCAAGAUUUUGCAGUGAGUUCUUUCAGUAACCCUAAACUCUGCAUCCUUGUAAUAUGACACUGGAUUUUUAUUUUACUCUCAAAUUCUGCCGACAAGCCUGAUGCAAGGUUACCAUGGCAUCUUCUUCGUACCAUCAUAUGUUAUUUUCCUACUUUUACCCUCAAACGAUACGAGACGAAAACUAGUUGUGAAGAAGAUGCCUUGAUGACACCGCCUCGGGUGAACUGCUAAAAGAUAUUAAAGUAUAUCUUUGUGCCCUUAUAAAUUUGGUUUACAGGUCGGGUUGCGGAUUGAGCAUCCUAUGGAACUAAUAAAGAAUCCAGAAUCUAGUAACUGGAUGCCUCUGGAGGAAUUUAAAGAACAAAGCAGUUGGACGUGUUAAUUGUAGAACGACACCCAAUGAUGAAAUUAUAAAGUCCUUAUCAAUGAAAUUAUCGAUAUCCAUAUGGAACAGUUGAAGGUAUUGAUCCCGGCGAGACGAUUGAAUGGCCAAAGCAAUACGUAACUCAUGCACGUGGAUAAUCAUAUUGUUUUUUUCUUCUUCUUUGUUGUUAUGAACAUGAAGCAACUUUUGUUGUUGAAUUUAAAGAUGUCUGGGCUGUUAAGUUGUUAACUGAAUUCAAAAUUAAUAGAAUGAGUCUUACAAAAUUUAUA